AUUUCCUAAUCAAACUCUACAAACUUUUAGUAAGUGAGAAUCUAAUUCUUCUUUUAAGUUUGAAAGAUUUGGGCUUUCUUAAUCAAGGGAAACAAAGGUGAGUAAUUUUAAUUUCUUGGUUUUGCUGAAAAUUAGGAUUAAUGAUAUGAAAUUGUUGAUGAUUAUGUGUUUUGGAAUUGUUUAAUCAAGAGUGAUCAUGCUAUUACUUGUGAUCUUGAAGGUGAAAUUUAUGGGCAGAAUUUUUCACCUCUGAUUUCGUGACCUUAGAGGCUUAAUCUCGAAAAUUUCCAAACAUGAAAGUUGUAGGUAUAUGUUUCAGGAAUAUCUCUGUAAAAUGGUUUUGCAGAUCGUUGAGUGAGUAUGAACUUAUAAAGUUCGAUUUGCUGCUGCUCUGUUUGUAGUUCAGCAGGUGACCUGGUUUUUGUGCAGAUAUUUUGAGGCAUUUAGAGGCUGAACCAAGCAAGGAGUUAAACAUGAAAUUUGUUCAUUUAUAUAUCUAGUAUAUUUCUGUAAACUUUUAUAAUUUUUGGUUGAGUAUAACGUGAGAUAUGUUGAACUUAAUAUGGCCUGCUCGAAACUGUAUUAAGCAGAAAUCGGACUUAGGAUUCAGAAAUUUGUUGCUAAUUGUGUGUAUCACAACUUGAGCUAGAGAAGUCCAAAUUGAGUAAAAUUAGUGUCUUUAGAAUCUUUAGAAUGUUAAAUUUAUAUCUGCAGAGUUUCAUCAGAAAAUUUAUUCAUUUGGCUGGUCAUUUAAUAGGAAACUUUUGACUGUUCUGUUUAGAUGGAAAUUGGAGCAGCUGUAUUGAAAAUGCCAUAACUAUUUUUAUACCAACGAUUUUGAAGUGAUUCUUUCUGCUAUGGUUUCUAUAAAAAUGGAAGUGUAAUUCUGGAAAAGAUGAGAUUUUUAUUAAUUGUACAUAAUUUUUGGUGUAAUUUCUAAGUCAGUACCUACAAGCUGCCUUCAUCAACAAAUAUGUUGAUUUAUUGUCAUUUAUCUCAUGCAUCAUAUUAUCAUCAAGAAUAUGUGUUAUUUGGUUGAAAUGUGAUAUUUUAUGGAUAGUAAAGAUAUGUAUAUUUAUGCCUUGUGAUUGAAUUGUAUUUGUAUUGAAUAUAUGAAUAGGUUCAUCCAAAGGCAAGGAAGUGGUAAGAGAAAAAGAAUAGGAUUACUUUGUUAUCCUAUAAAUUUUGGUAAGUAUUUAAUAGACUAAACUUUGUGUCUAUUGAGUAGGAACUGCUGUUUGAUUACUUGAUAAUCUCUUGGUUGACUGAGUUGAUAAUGGUUAUGUUUUUGGCUUGUUGUAAAGUGAAUUGAUUGUGAUGUGUUGUGAAGUGAAUUGAUUGUGAUUAAGGAUUGAUGACUCUUGAAUGGAUAUUGUGUGAUCG
rnacentral:lncRNA from 1 species